rnacentral:rRNA from 1 species
UACGAAGGGGGCUAGCGUUGCUCGGAAUCACUGGGCGUAAAGGGUGCGCGGCGGGUCUUUUAAGUCAGGGGUGAAAUCCUGGAGCUCAACUCCAGAACUGCCUUUGAUACUGAAGAUCUUGAGUUCGGGAGAGGUGAGUGGAACUGCGAGUGUAGAGGUGAAAUUCGUAGAUAUUCGCAAGAACACCAGUGGCGAAGGCGGCUCACUGGCCCGAUACUGACGCUGAGGCACGAAAGCGUGGGGAGCAAACAGGG